AGUGAACGCUGGCGGUAGGCCUAACACAUGCAAGUCGAACGGCAGCACAGUAAGAGCUUGCUCUUACGGGUGGCGAGUGGCGGACGGGUGAGGAAUACAUCGGAAUCUACUUUUUCGUGGGGGAUAACGUAGGGAAACUUACGCUAAUACCGCAUACGACCUACGGGUGAAAGCAGGGGAUCCUCGGACCUUGCGCGAUUGAAUGAGCCGAUGUCGGAUUAGCUAGUUGGCGGGGUAAAGGCCCACCAAGGCGACGAUCCGUAGCUGGUCUGAGAGGAUGAUCAGCCACACUGGAACUGAGACACGGUCCAGACUCCGACGGGAGGCAGCAGUGGGGAAUAUUGGACAAUGGGCGCAAGCCUGAUCCAGCCAUACCGCGUGGGUGAAGAAGGCCUUCGGGUUGUAAAGCCCUUUUGUUGGGAAAGAAAAGCAGCAGGUUAAUACCCCGCUGUUCUGACGGUACCCAAAGAAUAAGCACCGGCUAACUUCGU
rnacentral:rRNA from 1 species